rnacentral:lncRNA from 1 species
AAACCUCGCGGCCUCUCAGACGAGGGUGGGUUAGCGGGGGCAGCUCCCAACCCCCGUCCUGGACCCACAAAUCACCUCGACCCCUGGCCCACCCCGGCCGUCACCGAGAACGGUCCCCUAGGGUGCCUAGGGACUUCCGGAGCCCGACCGGAUCCGGAAGCUUCUGAGAGCGAGGGGGUGGGGCCGAAAAUCAAAAAAAGCGCGGCGAAAGCUAAAGGCCGGCGCACGCUGGGCGGUGGUGGUCCCUAAGCCGGGCCGCGGCCGGUGCAAUGGACUCCACUGCCUGCUUGAAGUCCUUGCUCCUGACUGUCAGUCAGUACAAAGCCGUGAAGUCAGAGGCGAACGCCACUCAGCUUUUGCGGCACUUGGAGGUAAUUUCUGGACAGAAACUCACACGACUAUUUACAUCAAAUCAGAUAUUAACAAGUGAAUGCUUGAGUUGCCUUGUAGAGCUACUUGAAGACCCCAACAUAAGUGCUUCACUGAUCUUAAGUAUUAUCGGUUUGCUGUCUCAACUAGCAGUAGACAUUGAAACCAGAGAUUGUCUUCAGAAUACAUAUAAUCUGAAUAGUGUGCUGGCGGGAGUGGUUUGUCGGAGCAGCCACACUGAUUCGGUGUUUUUGCAGUGCAUUCAACUUCUACAGAAGUUAACAUAUAAUGUCAAAAUUUUCUAUUCUGGUGCCAAUAUAGAUGAAUUAAUUACGUUCCUGAUAGAUCACAUUCAAUCUUCUGAAGAUGAGUUAAAAAUGCCUUGUCUAGGAUUAUUGGCAAAUCUUUGUCGGCACAAUCUUUCUGUUCAAACGCACAUAAAGACAUUGAGUAAUGUGAAAUCUUUUUAUCGAACUCUUAUCACCUUGUUGGCCCAUAGUAGUUUAACUGUGGUUGUGUUUGCACUUUCAAUAUUAUCCAGUUUGACAUUAAAUGAAGAGGUGGGGGAAAAGCUAUUCCAUGCUCGAAACAUUCAUCAGACUUUUCAACUAAUAUUUAAUAUUCUCAUAAACGGUGAUGGCACUCUAACUAGAAAGUAUUCAGUUGACCUACUGAUGGAUCUCCUUAAGAAUCCUAAAAUUGCUGAUUAUCUCACCAGAUAUGAGCACUUUUCUUCAUGUCUUCACCAAGUAUUAGGUCUUCUUAAUGGAAAGGAUCCUGAUUCCUCUUCAAAGGUUUUAGAAUUACUUCUUGCCUUCUGUUCAGUGACUCAGCUGCGCCAUAUGCUCACUCAGAUGAUGUUUGAACAGUCUCCACCUGGCAGCGCCACUCUGGGAAGCCAUACUAAAUGUUUAGAACCUACUGUGGCUCUACUGCGCUGGUUAAGCCAACCUUUGGACGGAUCAGAAAACUGUUCUGUUUUAGCAUUGGAGUUGUUCAAGGAAAUAUUUGAGGAUGUCAUAGAUGCUGCUAACUGUUCCUCGGCUGAUCGUUUUGUGACCCUUCUGCUGCCUACAAUCCUUGAUCAACUUCAGUUCACAGAACAAAAUCUAGAUGAGGCUUUAACAAGAAAAAAAUGUGAAAGGAUUGCCAAGGCCAUUGAAGUUUUGUUAACUCUCUGUGGAGAUGAUACACUAAAAAUGCAUAUUGCAAAAAUCUUGACAACUGUCAAGUGUACCACUCUUAUAGAACAACAAUUUACAUAUGGCAAGAUUGACCUGGGAUUUGGAACAAAGGUUGCAGAUUCUGAAUUAUGCAAACUUGCUGCUGAUGUAAUUUUGAAAACUCUUGAUUUGAUUAACAAACUUAAACCAUUGGUUCCUGGUAUGGAAGUAAGCUUCUACAAAAUACUUCAGGACCCACGUUUGAUUACUCCUUUGGCUUUUGCUUUAACGUCAGAUAAUAGAGAACAAGUACAGUCUGGACUGAGAAUAUUAUUGGAGGCUGCUCCACUGCCAGAUUUUCCUGCUUUAGUGUGAACUUGGAGAAAGUAUAGCAGCAAACAAUGCCUAUAGACAACAGGAAACAGAACAUAUACCCAGAAAAAUGCCCUGGCAAUCAUCAAAUCACAGUUUUCCAACAUCAA